GCUUCAAUGGCGGAAAUUACGUUUUAGACUCAAAAUCUAACUAUGAGAGUGGAAAUCUCUCUUGAAGCU
rnacentral:tRNA from 1 species